rfam:Triticum aestivum genome assembly, contig: Triticum_aestivum_CS42_TGACv1_scaffold_146549_2BS
AACAUACUUCCUCUGUCCAGAAAUACUUGUCACCAAAAUGAACAAAAAGGAAUGUAUCUAGACGUAUUUUAGUUCUAGAUACAUCCCUUUUUAUCCAUUUUGAUGAAAAGUAUUUUCGGACAGAGGGAGUAUUUU